rnacentral:rRNA from 1 species
UACGAAGGGGACUAGCGUUGUUCGGAAUCACUGGGCGUAAAGCGCACGUAGGCGGAUGUGUCAGUCAGGGGUGAAAUCCCGGGGCUCAACCUCGGAACUGCCUUUGAUACAGCACGUCUCGAGUCCGGAAGAGGUGGGUGGAAUUCCGGGUGUAGUGGUGAAAUGCGUAGAGAUCCGGAGGAACGCCAGUGGUGCAGACGGCCACCUGGCCCUGACCUGACACUGAGGCGCGACAGCGUGGGGAGCGAACCGG